AGAGAGGUGGCCGAGUGGUUUAAGGCGCAUGCCUGGAAAGCAUGUUGACGCGCAAGUGUCUCGAGGGUUCGAAUCCCUUCCUCUCUGC
rnacentral:tRNA from 1 species